rnacentral:lncRNA from 1 species
CGUCUCCAAACUCUCGCGCAUGGGAGACAUUACUUCCGGGCAAAGCACAGGCAGCUGGCGUGACUGGACCAACAUGUAAAAAAUGUCUAUAGCCCAGUCAGCUGCCCGUGAUUUGCAUCACGUUCAUGCGCUCGAGUUUGGAGACGACCAGAAGGCGCCAAAACGUAUCUUUAGUUUGCAGGUGGACAAUGAAAUUAAACUGGACGUGGAUGCAGGUCAUGAAUUCAUAUCAGGAAGAUAUUGGGUAAGCUCAGGGGUGAAAGUAAGGCGUUACGGUUCGGUACGGCGUCUCUGCAAAAUAAAUAGUGGGGGUACGCUAUACCGUGUCAAGAAUGGUCCACCAUCCAAAGGACAUCGAGCCAACUUAACAACUGUGGGAAGCAUUGGAGUCAACAUGGGCCAGCAUCCCUGUGGAACGCUUUCAACACCUUGUAGAGUCCAUGUCCCGACGAAUUGAGGCUGUUCUGAGGGCAAAUGGGGUGCAACUGGGGAUCUGCAGCUCAGUGAUCCAUCACCCUCUCUAGCAUCUCACCCACCCUUUGCUGUCAAGCUGUAUUUGUGUGUUAGAACAGUACAGCGAGCGGACCAGUGUCGCUGGUUUAAAUCCCAAGUCUGAUGGGAAACUAAUCGAGUGGGAAUCUAGACUGACAAGAUACUGAGAUGUUGAAAGAGGACGUGGGUCCAUGCAUCCCAACUGUACAGCAGUGUGCUCGUGAGUAAAGAGCUCUCAUGCGUAUAAUUCGAAGACGCACUGGAAGUGAGAGCACACGGAUGGCUGGAGAUGCGACAGGUGAGAGACGACUUGCAACGGAUCGACAUGAAAGAGGCAGACUGUGGCGGCCCCCCUGCUCUGUUUGGACAAGUUUGCAGAGCCCAGGGCCCUUUCCGGGGAACACGUCUCAGCCAAAGAGACAAAUUUUUGGACUUCGGCGACCCCCAAAAAACGCUUAGGCGGCACGCCCAAGGAUUUCAAUGUCAGAACAAUCCCUGUGUAUGUGUGCGUGCCUGUAUGUGUGCGUGCUUGCUGUACUCGUGAAGGUUUGUGGUGGACUGUUAUCCGAGGCGUGGCGUGGUGGAGCACUAUGAUGGAAUACGCAGAAUGGUCGGCCUGUCAGUCUCAAGGUUCUCCUCUCCAGAGCUGAUGGCCUUUAGAACUCACUGUGACCUUAGACAGGAAACCCAGUUUCUACUCUACAUCCUAAUCCCCCUGUGACUCCAAACCACUGGAUUACCUCAUCCCUCAUCAGUCAGUCCGUCUCACGGUGGUAAUCUCAGUGUUUCCUGCUUAUGUCCAUAUCAUUGUUUAAAUGUAAUGUAUUGAGAGAGUAUUAA